CUUCACCGACCCCAGCAGCAACGGACGGUCCUCCGGCCGCUCCUGACCGUACGUCGCCAGCAGUGCCUGGGCCUC
rnacentral:antisense_RNA from 1 species